UACGGGGGGGGGCAAGCGUUGUUCGGAAUUACUGGGCGUAAAGGGCGCGUAGGCGGCCUACUAAGUCGGACGUGAAAUCCCUCGGCUCAACCGAGGAACUGCGUCCGAUACUGGCAGGCUGGAAUCCGGGAGAGGGAUGUGGAAUUCCAGGUGUGAGCGGUGAAAUGCGUAGAUAUCUGGAGGAACACCGGUGGCGAAGGCGGCAUCCUGGACCGGUAUUGACGCUGAGGCGGCGAAAAGCUAGGGGAGCAAACGGG
rnacentral:rRNA from 1 species